rnacentral:rRNA from 1 species
UACGAAGGGGGCUAGCGUUGCUCGGAAUCACUGGGCGUAAAGGGUGCGUAGGCGGGUCUUUAAGUCAGGGGUGAAAUCCUGGAGCUCAACUCCAGAACUGCCUUUGAUACUGAAGAUCUUGAGUUCGGGAGAGGUGAGUGGAACUGCGAGUGUAGAGGUGAAAUUCGUAGAUAUUCGCAAGAACACCAGUGGCGAAGGCGGCCCACUGGCCCGAUACUGACGCUGAGGCGCGAAAGCGUGGGGAGCAAACAGG